ensembl:lncRNA
GUUCUGUCCAUGUCACUCUACAGGUAUAGAACACACUGUAACACUGUUCUGUCCAUGUCACUCUAAAGUCUUGAAGGAGUUCCCACAUAUGCUGAGGACUUGUUGGAUGCUUUUUCUUCACUCUGCGGUCCAACUCAUCCCAAACCAUCUCAAUUGGGUUGAGGUCAGGUGAUUGUGGAGGCCAGGUCAUCUGAUGCAGCACGCCAUCACUCUCCUUCUUGGUCCAAUAGCCCUUACACAGCCUGGAGGUUCACCUACUCUGCGUCUCACAAAGACAUGGCGGUUGGAUCCAAAAAUCCAAAAUGUUGACUUGUCAUACCAAAGGACAGAUUUCCAUCAGUCUAAUGUCCGUUGCUCGUGUUUCUUGGCCCAAGCAAGUAUUUUCUUCUUAUUGGUGUCCUUUAGUAGAGGUUUCUUUGCAGCAAUUCAACCAUGAAGGCCUGAUUCACACAGUCCCCUCAGAACAGUUGAGGUUGAGAUGUGUCUAUUACUUGAACUCUGUGAAGCAUCAAUUUGGGCUGCAAUCGGAGGUACUAACUCUCAUGAACUUAUCCUCUGCAGCAGAGAUAACUCUGGGUGUUCCAUUCAGUUGCGGUCCUCAUGAGAGCCAGUUUCAUCCUAGCUCCUGAUGGUUUUUGCGACUGCACUUGAAGAAACUUUCAAAGUUCUUUAAAUGUUCUGCAUUGACUGACCUUCAUGUCUUAAAGUCAUUUUGGACUGUUUUUUUCUCUUUGCACUGUUUUGAUUUUCUUGCCAUAAUAUGGACUUGGUGUUUUACCAAAUAGGGCAAACAGGGCUGUCUUCUGUAUACCACCCUACCUUGUCACAACACAACUGAUUGUCUCAAACGCAUUAAGAAGUAAAGAAAUUCCACAAAUGUACUUUUAACAAGGCACACCUGGUUCCAGGUAGAACCCUUUUUAUUUCCAG